GAUUUCACUACUUUCAAAUUUCCCUAUAUAGUUAUCUAUCGUGGACGUAACAACGUACAUAUGAUAUUUCGUACGCAUAUACAUGUAAAUAAAUUUAUGACAGUGCGUAAAGAGAAAAGAUCAUGUGCAUGUUGAAUGGAAAAGGCGCUACCACCCCCAUUGCUCCAAAAUAAUUGUCUAUCCAUCCCACGAGCGGUUCCCGGGCAGUAUUUGUCACUAAAGAGAAGAAAUACAAAAUUUCAGUAUAAUAUAAAAAUUUGGCAAUAAAAUGAAGAAAUAAAAUAUUUGAAAACAAACAUCUUCAUCGUUCGUCACGACAUGAUUCUCUCUCUUUUCCAUUUUUCAGCAUUUGACUCUUAUAGGACAUCAUUCUUAGUUUACUUUUUAAUUGCUAACCUCAGAGCUUUUACACACGAAUCUAUAUUAUAUAUUAGCAAUUCAACAUUACCGUGUUGCUUGAUAUACGUACCUCGAUAUCUCAAUAUUUCAAUGUCUCAAUUAUUAAUUAUAUCGGACACAUUUAAAACGAUAUAUUACAGAGCUAUCGCAAGAAUAAAUACGAUAGAAACGCGUUGCUUGAUAUACGUAUCUCAAUUAUCACAUUUAAGGAUGAUAGAGCGUUAUUGAUAUACGACAUAAUAUACUAAUGAUACACGACAUAAUAUACUAAUGAGACUUAAACUUUGCGACAUGUUGUAGAAAAGACUUAAAUAAUUGAUCGGGAAGAAAAACCGACUACUGAAAAUUUGUAAUUUUGGCUUGUGAAAUUUCAGAUCUCAGGAUUGUCUGUACUAAUUUUUAUCAGAUUGGUCGCAACUGAAUGCUUGUAUCAACGUUUCUGUCAGAAAUACAAUUAGAUUUUUCAUUACCAUUUUAUUUUUCGAGAUAUUUUAGAUAGAAGUGUGAUCAGCUUCUUGGUAGCGUCGUGUACCAUGAACAUAUCACGGAUCUGUCACAUCUCGGACCUGUCAUUCUCGGAACUCGUCUUUAUGUACUUGGCUACCGCGUCGCUUAAUAGAAAAGGAUGCGAAGUAUAAUUUAAUUUGAGAAACCAGUAAACACCAAGUAACGAUUAUAUAACAUUAAGUAUAAUGAUUUUGAUUAAUCUUCCACUUUUCUCACACUAAAAUGCAAACUAACGCGAGAUAUACCUCCAGUCAUGUUUUAUUUCAAAUAUUUAUGACAGUCAGAAAUCUCGCCCUGUAAUAUGUGUAGCAUUGAGAGGAGAUGGCGCACACAAACGUGACCGUGUACGCUCCGACUUUCGCCGAAAAUGAGUAUCAGUAAAAAAUGACAGACAUAUGAUACGACGGUCAGUCUGCUUCCCUUGCUGGAGCGAACUGUCUUGUUGGACAUGCACUGUUCAACUGUGAUCAAAGGUGUAUUUUUUACAUUAUAUUAUACAUGUGUAUGUUAUAUUAUAUUAUAUUAUAAAAUUAAUAAAUUCUAAUUUAAUGAAAUUCACUUUUGGCCAACGUGUACAUUUGAAUUUAAUAAAUUUAUCUUAUUAAAAUAUAUAUAAAAAUAAUGAAAUAAAAGCAAAAUGUGAUUUGGUUAAUAACAGUAGUAUAUGUAAAUACUUCGUAAGCUUAUUGGUUAAUAUCGCAUGCUAUGUAUGAUCCAUCAGAUCCAUCAGAUAUGUCAUAAUUCUUAAUUCUUUUAAUUUUAUAUUAUUGUAUAGUAUCGCUGUACCGCAAAGAAUAUAUAAAUAUUAUUAUAAUUUGGUCUUUUUUUAUAAUAGAUGAAAAAUGUACAUAUUAAUGUAGAAAAUACAAUGAGAUAAAAAACGAUUUUAUGUAUAUAUGCUUUCAACCAAACAUGGACGACCUUGAGCUAUAUUUCGAUAUGUAUAAAAAAUAAUAGGAAAAACGUAUACAAGCACAUAAAAAAAAAAAUGAUAGACACAAGUUUCGUAUAAGACAGAUGAAUUUAUUUGGCUGGCUUAAAUAUCGGAUUCUGCAUUUUAAAAAGAAACUUAAAAUAUACCAUUAUCCUCCUUGAAAUGACAUGAAGUUAUGAUAAAAUUUAAUAUUUUUACAUAAAAA